GUCGAUUCAUGUGUCAAACCCAGCUCUUGGAAAAAUCAUUUCAACUAUAACAUUUUAUUGCCAACUUUAAUUAGUAAUGGUAAUAUAUUACAACUCAGUAGUAGACAAAGCAAUACACUUUUACAAUUUGGAAUGUCAUGACACAACUCCCCUGUAAAAGUAAACGAAUACCCCGAAGUAUGAUUCUCUUCGGAAUCUGUCAUGUCUGCUUUUGUAUAACCUUCCAAAAUUGAAUUCACACACCAAACCACAACUCCACACUUGGAGUUAAUCCCAACGAAGUCUUGACUCAACUCAAACGUCUUGGAAUUUUCAACUUUCUUCAUGCUCAACUUUAUCGCAUUAGAAUGGUCCUUCUCGAUGGAAGGAUCCAACUCAAACUUGACAAUUUUUUUCUUUCCAAAUUCUUUCACAACUACUUCAUACCCUGGCUUUAAACUAUCUCUUUCUUUCUUCAGUUUUAGUAUCUAUCUAAAGAGAAGAGCUUUCUUCUAGUGGUUCUCAUGCAAGGCUUUUCUCUCAUCUCGCAUGGCUUUGUACCACAU
rnacentral:lncRNA from 1 species